rnacentral:misc_RNA from 1 species
CCGAGUUAUACAACUCAUCACCCUGUGAACAUAACGUGCCUAGGCGGGAACAGACGGCCCUGUAACAGGCCCCGCAGAGGACCCCUACUCAUGUUUCUAUAAUGUUCUAUUGAGUAAACAAGCAAUAAU